UACGAAGGUCCCAAGCGUUAUCCGGAUUUAUUGGGUUUAAAGGGUGCGUAGGCGGGUUAUUAAGUCAGUGGUGAAAGCUCCCAGCUCAACUGGGAAACUGCCCAUUGAUACUGAUAGUCUUGAGUAUGAUUGAAAGUGGGCGGAAUGUGUCAUGUAGCGGUGAAAAUGCUUAGAUAUGACACAGAACACCGAUUGCGAAGGCAGCUCAC
rnacentral:rRNA from 1 species